GGGGGCGAGGCUACACAGAUAAGAGCAGAGCAACGCUAACAUUACCCCAGACAGUGCUAAAGCUGGACCUCCAAAUGAAGCGAAACUCCGGUAAUACGUUGUCUUAUCUUACAUACUUAUAUGUCCCAGCGUUUCCUUUUUUAAAAAAUAAGCUGUUUCACACACCGCUCUAAGAAGAUUAGUAAAAGGCAAAAACAGUGUGAAGCAGAAGAAUGACGAUUUUCCAUAUUACUGUGAAUGGAAUCAGCGGAGAAUCCGUACUGCUUAAAUUUGAGUGUUCACAGGAAACGUUUGACAAAACUACGAUUCUGGAGUUGAAGAAAAAAAUAAUUGCUGAACAUCUACGACACUCAGAUGGGGACCCGAAGUUAAUGCAUUUGAUUUUUGGAUCUAUUCAGCUGGAGGUUAUGAAAACGUUUUCUGAUUACGGUUUCCAGAACGGGUCUGUAGUGCAAAUGGUCGUGAGAUUGCCGGGGGGCGGCGGCGGUGAUCUGGAGCCUCGGGUGGUGGCCGGCGCUGGGGCCAGGGCUGGGGCCGAUCGGAAAUCGUGUAACGUGAUGUAACAGUCAAUGUCCCACGUCGUCUGCGAGAAACGUCCGCCCCCUUUGACAAGAACAUGGCUGCCAAUCUGACUGCAAGAAACAUCUGCUCCCUUUGACAAAAACAUGGCUGCCAAUCUGACUGCGAAAACUGCCAGAACUUCUUGAACCCUCGUCGCAAUCAUCAAAGACACACGUACGAUCCUGUGGAAGUAAAGGAACAUAUGUACAUCUGUACUGUGUGUAUAUGUAGUUAAAGCUAGUAAUAUUACCCAUUAUGCAAUAACUGAAUAUUGAUUACACUGAAAACAUAUAAAAGGGGUAGAAAACUGAUUUAACAUAAUUAUCAAUAAAAUAUAAGAUCUUGGGAUAACCUACAUAGUUAACUUUUUACAUUUUAUUAUUAUUUCUUUUACAUACAUCUGACACGCUUGUCAUUUGUUUUGUAAUGUAUUUAAGUGAAUUCUUUCACCCCUCUACAAAGCUUUGACAGCUUUGAGGCUAUAUUGUUCGUUGAUCUUGGCUAAUUAAAGGUGCAGUAUGUAA